rnacentral:rRNA from 1 species
UAGGCUUGCGUCUGUAUUAGCUAGGUUGGUGUGUAACGGCACACCAAGGCUACGAUCAGUAACUGGUCUGAGAGGAUGAUCAGUCACACUGGAACUGAGACACGGUCCAGACUCCUACGGGAGGCAGCAGUGAGGAAUAUUGGGCAAUGCUCGAAAGAGUGACCCAGCGACGCCGCGUGGAGGAUGAAGGUAUUCUAUAUCGUAAACUCCUGUGAGAGCAGACGAAAGACAGAUUAUUAAAUUCGUGGAUGACUGUACGCUCAGAGGAAGCCCCGGCUAACUACGUG